GCAAAGCGGUGACGCAGAGCGAAACUUAAAAAGCGGUCUCAGUUCGGAUUGAAGGCUGAAAUUCGCCUUUAUGAAGCCGGAAUUGCUAGUAAUGGCAGGUCAGCAUACUGCCGUGAAUACGUUCCCGGGCCUUGUACACACCGCCCGUCACACCAUGAGAGUUGGGGAUACCCGAAGCCUGUGAGCUAACUGUAACAAGAAGCAGCAGUCGAAGGUAGAAUCAAUGAUUGGGGUGAAGUCGUAACAAGGUAAC
rnacentral:rRNA from 1 species